rnacentral:rRNA from 1 species
CCUACGGGAGGCAGCAGUGGGGAAUAUUGCGCAAUGGACGAAAGUCUGACGCAGCAACGCCGCGUGAGGGAUGACGGCCUUCGGGUUGUAAACCUCUUUCAGCAGGGACGAAGCGAGAGUGACGGUACCUGCAGAAGAAGGACCGGCCAACUACGUGCCAGCAGCCGCGGUAAU